GCCCUAGUAACGGCGAGUGAAGCGGCAACAGCUCAAAUUUGAAAUCUGGCCCCCGGGUCCGAGUUGUAAUUUGUAGAGGAUGCUUUUGGUGCGGUACCUUCCGAGUUCCCUGGAACGGGACGCCAUAGAGGGUGAGAGCCCCGUCUGGUUGGACGCCAAUCCUUUGUAAAGCUCCUUCGACGAGUCGAGUAGUUUGGGAAUGCUGCUCUAAAUGGGAGGUAUAUGUCUUCUAAAGCUAAAUAUUGGCCAGAGACCGAUAGCGCACAAGUAGAGUGAUCGAAAGAUGAAAAGCACUUUGAAAAGAGAGUUAAAAAGUACGUGAAAUUGUUGAAAGGGAAGCGCUCAUGACCAGACUUGGGCCCGGUUGAUCAUCCAGGGUUCUCCCUGGUGCACUCUUCCGGCCCAGGCCAGCAUCAGUUCGCUGUGGGGGAUAAAGGCUUCGGGAAUGUGGCUCCUCCGGGAGUGUUAUAGCCCGCUGCGUAAUACCCUGUGGCGGACUGAGGUUCGCGCAUCUGCAAGGAUGCUGGCGUAAUGGUCAUCAGCGACCCGUCUUGAAACACGGACCAAGGAGUCGUCUUCGUAUGCGAGUGUUCGGGUGUUAAACCCCUACGCGGAAUGAAAGUGAACGCAGGUGAGAGCUUCGGCGCAUCAUCGACCGAUCCUGAUGUUCUCGGAUGGAUUUGAGUAAGAGCAUACGGGGCCGGACCCGAAAGAAGGUGAACUAUGCCUGUAUAGGGUGAAGCCAGAGGAAACUCUGGUGGAGGCUCGCAGCGGUUCUGACGUGCAAAUCGAUCGUCAAAUAUGGGCAUGGGGGCGAAAGACUAA
rnacentral:rRNA from 1 species